GACCUAGCAAUAGGUAUGCUUAGGGAGGAGCUUGCGUCACAUUAGUUAGUUGGUGGGGUAAAGGCCUACCAAGACUAUGAUGUGUAGCCGGGCUGAGAGGUUGAACGGCCACAUUGGGACUGAGACACGGCCCAAACUCCUACGGGAGGCAGCAGUAGGGAAUUUUCGGCAAUGGAGGAAACUCUGACCGAGCAACGCCGCGUGAACGAUGAAGUAUUUCGGUACGUAAAGUUCUUUUAUUAGGGAAGAAUAAAUGAUGGAAAAAUCAUUCUGACGGUACCUAAUGAAUAAGCCCCGGCUAACUAUGUGCCAGCAGCCGCGGUAAUACAUAGGGGGCAAGCGUUAUCCGGAAUUAUUGGGCGUAAAGGGUGCGUAGGCGGUUAAAUAAGUUUAUGGUCUAAGUGCAAUGCUCAACAUUGUGAUGCUAUAAAAACUGUUUAGCUAGAGUAAGAUAGAGGCAAGUGGAAUUCCAUGUGUAGUGGUAAAAUGCGUAAAUAUAUGGAGGAACACCAGUAGCGAAGGCGGCUUGCUGGGUCUUUACUGACGCUGAGGCACGAAAGCGUGGGGAGCAAACAGGAUUAGAUACCCUGGUAGUCCACGCCGUAAACGAUGAGUACUAAACGUUGGGUAAAACCAGUGUUGAAGUUAACACAUUAAGUACUCCGCCUGAGUAGUACGUACGCAAGUAUGAAACUUAAAGGAAUUGACGGGACUCCGCACAAGCGGUGGAUCAUGUUGUUUAAUUCGAAGGUACCCGAAAAACCUCACCAGGUCUUGACAUGCUUCUGCAAAGCUGUAGAAACACAGUGGAGGUUAUCAGUUGCACAGGUGGUGCAUGGUUGUCGUCAGCUCGUGUCGUGAGAUGUUGGGUUAAGUCCCGCAACGAGCGCAACCCUUAUUGUUAGUUACCAGCACGUAAUGGUGGGGACUUUAGCAAGACUGCCAGUGAUAAAUUGGAGGAAGGUGGGGACGACGUCAAAUCAUCAUGCCCCUUAUGACCUGGGCUACAAACGUGAUACAAUGGCUGUUACAAAGGGUAGCUGAAGCGCAAGUUUUUGGCGAAUCUCAAAAAAACAGUCUCAGUUCGGAUUGAAGUCUGCAACUCGACUUCAUGAAGUUGGAAUCGCUAGUAAU
rnacentral:rRNA from 1 species